AAUCUUCCGCAAUGGGCGAAAGCCUGACGGAGCAACGCCGCGUGAGUGAUGAAGGUCUUCGGAUCGUAAAACUCUGUUAUUAGGGAAGAACAUAUGUGUAAGUAACUGUGCACAUCUUGACGGUACCUAAUCAGAAAGCCACGGCUAACUACGUGCCAGCAGCCGCGGUAAUACGUAGGUGGCAAGCGUUAUCCGGAAUUAUUGGGCGUAAAGCGCGCGUAGGCGGUUUUUUAAGUCUGAUGUGAAAGCCCACGGCUCAACCGUGGAGGGUCAUUGGAAACUGGAAAACUUGAGUGCAGAAGAGGAAAGUGGAAUUCCAUGUGUAGCGGUGAAAUGCGCAGAGAUAUGGAGGAACACCAGUGGCGAAGGCGACUUUCUGGUCUGUAACUGACGCUGAUGUGCGAAAGCGUGGGGAUCAAACAGGAUUAGAUACCCUGGUAGUCCACGCCGUAAACGA
rnacentral:rRNA from 1 species